CGGCGCAUGUAGGAUGCGCAUCUGACCAAGCCAUCUCCUUUUCAAGGUGACAGAGACGUACGGAAUGUGGAAGUGUCCAGAGCCGAUAAAAAGCACCAGGAUCACGCUGUAAACAUCGAUCUGCCGCACCACCAACGGUCCCCCGGCCACCUCAAGACCAAGUACGUCGCGCAAAAGUUCAAGUGACCACGGCUCCAACAUCCCCGCAUCGUAACAAAGAACAAGUUUCAAAACCAUUUGCGAUGCAAGCCCAAAAGAAGGUGGAUAAAGAUAAGGUCAUGAAAACAACGCUGCGGUCUGGCGUGGUUUUGUUCGUCCACUCAUGCACGAGUUUUGCUAACGCAUUUUUUUAGUCUUGCAGUUCUGCAAGAACACCUCUAUAAAAUGUGUGCUGAGCUUGU